ACAUCAGACUGAAAAACACUGAUUCCUGUAUGAUCACUGAAGCUAAGCAACAAUGAGCCUGGUCAGUACCUAGAUGGGUAACUGCUUUGGAAAACCAGGUGCUGUAAG